UUGCUUUCGGUGGUACAUAUAUUAAAGUUUGAAGGAUACACAAGAUCGGCAUGUCCCGUGCGCAAGGAUGACAAGCAAAAUCUUGAAAUGGCCCAUAUUUUU
rnacentral:snRNA from 1 species